UUUUAGAGACGGAAUUUGAUUUUUAUAUUAGAAAGUUUAAAUAUAUUUAUAGGACGAGAAGACCCUAUAGAACUUGACUUUCCCUAAUUUAAUUAUUUACUUGUAAAUAAUUUUUAUUUAUUUUAGGGAAAGUUUUAUUGGGGUGAUAAAAAAAAUUUUUUAACUUUUUUUAUUUUUUUCAUUUAUGUAUGGAUUUUUGAUCCUGUUUUAUGGAUUACAAGAUUAAGUUACCUUAGGGAUAACAGCGUUAUUACUUUGGAGAGUUCAUAUUGAUAAAGUAGUUUGCGACCUCGAUGUUGGAUUAAAAUUAGUGUCGGGGGUAGAAUAUCGAU
rnacentral:rRNA from 1 species